GCCGAUGUAGCUUAGCCCGGUUGAGCGGCUGACUUGUAAUCAGCAGGUCGAGGGUUCGAAUCCCUCCAUCGGCU
rfam:Thermoplasmatales archaeon SG8-52-4 WOR_8-12_248, whole genome shotgun sequence.